UUAAUUUGAGAGUUUGAUCCUGGCUCAGGAUGAACGCUGGCGGCGUGCCUAAUACAUGCAAGUCGAACGCACUUCGGUUUUUGAUUGACGGUGCUUGCACCAGAUUGACGAGACAUUGAAGUGAGUGGCGAACGGGUGAGUAACACGUGGGUAACCUGCCCUAAAGUGGGGGAUAACAUUUGGAAACAGAUGCUAAUACCGCAUAACAACGAAAACCACAUGGUUUUCGUUUGAAAGAUGGUUUCGGCUAUCACUUUAGGAUGGACCCGCGGUGCAUUAGCUAGUUGGUAAGAUAACGGCUUACCAAGGCAAUGAUGCAUAGCCGAGCUGAGAGGCUGAUCGGCCACAUUGGGACUGAGACACGGCCCAGACUCCUACGGGAGGCAGCAGUAGGGAAUCUUCCACAAUGGGCGCAAGCCUGAUGGAGCAACGCCGCGUGAGUGAAGAAGGGUUUCGGCUCGUAAAACUCUGUUGUUAAAGAAGAACGUAUCUGAGAGUAACUGUUCAGAUAGUGACGGUAUUUAACCAGAAAGCCACGGCUAACUACGUGCCAGCAGCCGCGGUAAUACGUAGGUGGCAAGCGUUAUCCGGAUUUAUUGGGCGUAAAGGGAGUGCAGGCGGUUAUUUAAGUCUGAUGUGAAAGCCUUCGGCUUAACCGGAGAAGGGCAUCGGAAACUGGAUAACUUGAGUGCAGAAGAGGGUAGUGGAACUCCAUGUGUAGCGGUGGAAUGCGUAGAUAUAUGGAAGAACACCAGUGGCGAAGGCGGCUACCUAGUCUGUAACUGACGCUGAGGCUCGAAAGCAUGGGUAGCAAACAGGAUUAGAUACCCUGGUAGUCCAUGCCGUAAACGAUGAAUACUAGGUGUUAGGGGGUUUCCGCCCCUUAGUGCCGCAGCUAACGCAAUAAGUAUUCCGCCUGGGGAGUACGACCGCAAGGUUGAAACUCAAAGGAAUUGACGGGGACCCGCACAAGCGGUGGAGCAUGUGGUUUAAUUCGAAGCUACGCGAAGAACCUUACCAGGGCUUGACAUCUUCUGCUAAUCCGAGAGAUCGGACGUUCCCUUCGGGGACGGAAAGACAGGUGGUGCAUGGUUGUCGUCAGCUCGUGUCGUGAGAUGUUGGGUUAAGUCCCGCAACGAGCGCAACCCUUAUGAUUAGUUGCCAGCAUUAAGUUGGGCACUCUAAUGAGACUGCCGGUGACAAACCGGAGGAAGGUGGGGACGACGUCAAAUCAUCAUGCCCCUUAUGUCCUGGGCUACACACGUGCUACAAUGGAUGGUACAACGAGCAGCGAAGUCGCGAGGCCAAGCAAAUCUCUUAAAGCCAUUCUCAGUUCGGACUGUAGGCUGCAACUCGCCUACACGAAGUCGGAAUCGCUAGUAAUCGCGGAUCAGCAUGCCGCGGUGAAUACGUUCCCGGGUCUUGUACACACCGCCCGUCACACCAUGAGAGUUUGUAACACCCAAAGUCGGUGGGGUAACCUUCGGGAGCCAACCGCCUAAGGUGGGACAGAUGAUUAGGGUGAAGUCGUAACAAGGUAGCCGUAGGAGAACCUGCGGCUGGAUCACCUCCUUUCUAAGGAA
rnacentral:rRNA from 1 species